AGAGUUUGAUCCUGGCUCAUAAUGAACGCUGGCGGCGUGCUUAACACAUGCAAGUCGAACGAGAAAUCCUCUGCUUGCAGAGGAGAGUAAAGUGGCGCAGGGGUGAGUAACGCGUGGGUAAUUUACCCUUGGAUUUGGGAUAACAUUUCGAAAGGGGUGCUAAUACCAGAUAAUAUCCUGAUGAUUUUGGUUAUUAGGAUCAAAGAUAGCCUCUACAUGUAAGCUAUUGUGCAAGGAUGAGCCCGCGUACCAUUAGCUAGUUGGCAGGGUAAAGGCCUACCAAGGCGAUGAUGGUUAGCUGGUCUGAGAGGAUGAUCAGCCACACUGGAACUGAAACACGGUCCAGACUCCUACGGGAGGCAGCAGUGAGGAAUUUUGCGCAAUGGGGGAAACCCUGACGCAGCAACGCCGCGUGAGUGAAGAAGGCUUUCGGGUCGUAAAGCUCUGUCAAGAGGGAAGAAGGUAGAUGGUG
rnacentral:rRNA from 1 species